rnacentral:rRNA from 1 species
UUUAAUAAAGAUUAAGUACUAAAUAGANNNCCCAACANUAGUUGAUUGCANUGAACAAGUUACUGUAGGGAUAACAGCGUAAUAUAUAUCUAAAGUUCUUAUUUUGAUAUAAGUUUGCGACCUCGAUGUUGAAUUNAUAUUACUUUCAAGCGCAAGAGCCUGAAAAGUGGGUCUGUUCGACCCCUAAAUAUAUACAUGAUUUGAGUUCAAAUCGGUGUAAACCAGAUUGGUUUCUAUCUAUUNUUAUUUGUGUCUUAGUACGAAAGGACCUGAAACAAUAUUAUAUAAUNAUUUAUAUGGCAGAAAAAUGCUUUAGAUUUAGGAUCUAAUUAUAAUAGAUUAUUAUACUCUAUUUAACUUGCCUAAUCUCUGUUAUUAGAAUCCUUAUCGCAGUAGCUUUUUAUACCCUCCUAGAGCGAAAAAUUCUAAGCUACAUC